CAGUAGCCGCGGUAAUACAGAGGGUGCGAGCGUUAAUCGGAUUUACUGGGCGUAAAGCGUGCGUAGGCGGCUUCUUAAGUCGGAUGUGAAAUCCCUGAGCUUAACUUAGGAAUUACAUUCGAUACUGGGAAGCUAGAGUAUGGGAGAGGAUGGUAGAAUUCCAGGUGUAGCGGUGAAAUGCGUAGAGAUCUGGAGGAAUACCGAUGGCGAAGGCAGCCAUCUGGCCUAAUACUGACGCUGAGGUACGAAAGCAUGGGGAGCAAACAGGAUUAGAUACCCCCGUAGUCCCUGUCUCUUAUAC
rnacentral:rRNA from 1 species